UCUUGAGCUUCUUCAGGUAGACCGGCCGUGUGCUCUCGGUGACGGGCCCCGGCGAGAAGCCGAGUCGCCUCAGCUCGGAGAAAAGCUCCUCGUCGUUUAGAUUAUGCACAGCACCCAAGAAUCAACACUUGUCAAGAAGCGAGUCAUCCAGUUCCAUUAUGCUGUUGUUACAUGACAGUUGUGAAUAGUCCUCUUUUAUGCAGUGAUCGGAGAUUACUCCAUGUCUGCAAAGCUUUCUAUUUUCCUGAUCUGAGAAAGAGCAGCCACAAGAAGGAAUAAGAAUAGGAUGCAUUGUUUAUACAUCUAUAUUAGCUACUCGGUCUCAGGAUAUCUCCUGAAGGUAUAGGAGGCCUCUACCUUGCUGGAGCUAAGCAGGUCUGGGUUUGGGCAAUGCCUGGAAGGGUGAGCAUUUGUGUGAUGCUUUGAAAAUGCUAAUAACAGAUAUUGGGCUGUCACUGUUUGCAGAAAUCUUAGCUCAGCAUAGGAGCUUUCAUUCAGGAAUUGAUCCAUCCAUCAGUUAAAUCCACAGAUUUGCAUAUGAAUAAAAUACAUCUGAGAUAAA